UACGUAGGGUGCAAGCGUUAAUCGGAAUUACUGGGCGUAAAGCGUGCGCAGGCGGUUUUGUAAGUUUGUCGUGAAAUCCCCGGGCUCAACCUGGGAAUUGCGAUGAAGACUGCAAGGCUAGAAUCUGGCAGAGGGGGGUAGAAUUCCACGUGUAGCAGUGAAAUGCGUAGAGAUGUGGAGGAACACCGAUGGCGAAGGCAGCCCCCUGGGUCAAGAUUGACGCUCAUGCACGAAAGCGUGGGGAGCAAACAGG
rnacentral:rRNA from 1 species